rnacentral:rRNA from 1 species
ACGCUCGACACCUACGGGUGGCAGCAGUAGGGAAUCUUCCACAAUGGACGCAAGUCUGAUGGAGCAACGCCGCGUGAGUGAAGAAGGUCUUCGGAUCGUAAAACUCUGUUGUUAGAGAAGAACACGAGUGAGAGUAACUGUUCAUUCGAUGACGGUAUCUAACCAGCAAGUCACGGCUAACUACGUGCAAGCAGCCGCGGUAAUCUGAGCGGGCUGGCAAGGC